GUGUGUGUGUGUAUGUGUGUGUGUGUGUGUGUGUUCAUCUGCAUGUGUGUGUGUAUGUGUGUGUGUGUGUGUGUGUGUGUGUGUGUGUGUGUGUGUGUGUGUGUGUGUGUGUGUGUGUGGGCAUGUGUGAGUGUGUGUGUGUAUGUGUGUGUGUGAGUGUAGGGGUGUGUCUGUGAGUGUAUGUGUGUGUGUG